rnacentral:rRNA from 1 species
GUCUACGGCCAUACCACCCUGAACGCGCCCGAUCUCGUCUGAUCUCGGAAGCUAAGCAGGGUCGGGCCUGGUUAGUACUUGGAUGGAAGAAUUUCCCAGGAAAAUCCAUCAGUUUCUGGGAGGUU